GUGGGGAAUUUUGGACAAUGGGCGAAAGCCUGAUCCAGCCAUGCCGCGUGCAGGAUGAAGGCCUUCGGGUUGUAAACUGCUUUUGUACGGAACGAAAAGACUCCUUCUAAUAAAGAGGGCUCAUGACGGUACCGUAAGAAUAAGCACCGGCUAACUACGUGCCAGCAGCCGCGGUAAUACGUAGGGUGCGAGCGUUAAUCGGAAUUACUGGGCGUAAAGCGUGCGCAGGCGGUUAUAUAAGACAGAUGUGAAAUCCCCGGGCUCAACCUGGGAACUGCAUUUGUGACUGUAUAGCUAGAGUACGGUAGAGGGGGAUGGAAUUCCGCGUGUAGCAGUGAAAUGCGUAGAUAUGCGGAGGAACACCGAUGGCGAAGGCAAUCCCCUGGACCUGUACUGACGCUCAUGCACGAAAGCGUGGGGAGCAAACAGGAUUAGAUACCCCGGUAGUCC
rnacentral:rRNA from 1 species